AGCGAACGCUGGCGGCAGGCUUAACACAUGCAAGUCGAGCGGGCGUAGCAAUACGUCAGCGGCAGACGGGUGAGUAACGCGUGGGAACGUACCUUUUGGUUCGGAACAACACAGGGAAACUUGUGCUAAUACCGGAUAAGCCCUUACGGGGAAAGAUUUAUCGCCGAAAGAUCGGCCCGCGUCUGAUUAGCUAGUUGGUGAGGUAACGGCUCACCAAGGCGACGAUCAGUAGCUGGUCUGAGAGGAUGAUCAGCCACAUUGGGACUGAGACACGGCCCAAACUCCUACGGGAGGCAGCAGUGGGGAAUAUUGGACAAUGGGCGCAAGCCUGAUCCAGCCAUGCCGCGUGAGUGAUGAAGGCCCUAGGGUUGUAAAGCUCUUUUGUUGCGGGAAGAUAAUGACGGUACCGCAAGAAUAAGCCCCGGCUAACUUCGUGCCAGCAGCCGCGGUAAGGUCGUCAUGU
rnacentral:rRNA from 1 species